rnacentral:rRNA from 1 species
CUGGUUGAUCCUGCCAGUAGUCAUAUGCUUGUCUCAAAGAUUAAGCCAUGCAUGUCUAAGUAUAAGCGACUUGUACUGUGAAACUGCGAAUGGCUCAUUAAAUCAGUUAUGGUUCUAUUUGAUGGUACCUUACUACUUGGAUAACCGUAGUAAUUCUAGAGCUAAUACAUGCAGGAAUUCCCGACUUCGGAAAGGGAUGUAUUUAUUAGAUAAGAAAACCAACUCCUCUGGGAUUGUGUGCUGAGUCAUAAUAACUGCUCGAAUCGCAUGGCCUUACGGCCGGCGAUGGUUCAUUCAAAUUUCUGCCCAUAUCAGGUUUCGAUGGUAGGAUAGAGGCUUACCAUGGCGUUUACGGGUAACGGAGAAUUAGGGUUCGAUUCCGGAGAGGGAGCCUGAGAAAUGGCUACCACAUCCAAGGAAGGCAGCAGGCCGCGUAAAUUGCCCGAAUCCUGACACAGGGAGGUAGUGACAAGAAAUAAC